GAGUGCUCACUUUCUCUUUUCCCUUUGCUCGACACAGCAGCGGCAGAGAAGGGAAUGCGAGAGGGAUUAGAAGGCAGGGAGGAACAGUAGGUCGAGGGGCGAAGAAGCAGCUCUCCUGCGAAGAUGCUGUCUCCAUCAGUCAAAUUCAGGAUUGCCCUUGAAACAUCAGGAACCAGAGGGGAACCUUUGGGAAAUACCUGCAGGAGUAGCAGGUGCUAUCAGAAUUAAGGUACAAGAGAGUGGGAUGCAUAACUGCAGAAUUAGAGUUACUGCUGUUUUGUUCAUCUUUUUCUCCUUGUUGUGGAAAGAAGAUGGGCUUGGACUACUCAAAAUGAGAUCUGGAAGAACAAAAAGCUACCUGCUGAUGCAGCUUGGAUCACAUCACUCUUGGAAUCCUUGGCGUGGAAAACUAUCCUGGAAGUGUAGUUCCCAUGCAUGGCAUAGAAGUCCUCAACUGCCAUGGAAAUACUGGUAGAACCCAUCUUCCCCACCAACGUGCCCAGGUCGAGG